UAUUGCACAAUGGGCGCAAGCCUGAUGCAGCCAUGCCGCGUGUAUGAAGAAGGCCUUCGGGUUGUAAAGUACUUUCAGCGAGGAGGAAGGCGUUAAGGUUAAUAACCUUAGCGAUUGACGUUACUCGCAGAAGAAGCACCGGCUAACUCCGUGCCAGCAGCCGCGGUAAUACGGAGGGUGCAAGCGUUAAUCGGAAUUACUGGGCGUAAAGCGCACGCAGG
rnacentral:rRNA from 1 species